rnacentral:tRNA from 1 species
GAGGGUGUAGCUCAAUUGGAUAGAGCAUCUGACUACGGAUCAGAAGGUUGAGGGUUCGACUCCUUCCACCCUCG